UACGAAGGGGGCUAGCGUUGCUCGGAAUCACUGGGCGUAAGGGUGCGUAGGCGGGUCUUUUAAGUCAGGGGUGAAAUCCUGGAGCUCAACUCCAGAACUGCCUUUGAUACUGAGGAUCUUGAGUUCGGGAGAGGUGAGUGGAACUGCGAGUGUAGAGGUGAAAUUCGUAGAUAUUCGCAAGAACACCAGUGGCGAAGGCGGCUCACUGGCCCGAUACUGACGCUGAGGCACGGAAAAGCGUGGGGAGCAAACAGGG
rnacentral:rRNA from 1 species